CAAUAGCGUAUAUUAAAGUUGUUGCGGUUAAAAAGCUCGUAGUUGGAUUUCUGCUGAGAACGACCGGUCCGCCCUCUGGGUGUGUAUCUGGCUCUUUCUUGGCAUCUUCUUGGUGAACGUUGCUGCACUUGACUGUGUGGAGCGCUACCCAGGACUUUUACUUUGAGGAAAUUAGAGUGUUUCAAGCAGGCAUACGCCUUGAAUACAUUAGCAUGGAAUAAUAAGAUAGGACCUCGGUUCUAUUUUGUUGGUUUCUAGAGCUGAGGUAAUGAUUAAUAGGGAUAGUUGGGGGCAUUCGUAUUUAACUGUCAGAGGUGAAAUUCUUGGAUUUAUGAAAGACUAACAUCUGCGAAAGCAUUUGCCAAGGAUGUUUNCAUUG
rnacentral:rRNA from 1 species